UGCUAUGGCUCAGUCGGUAGAGCGCAUCCUUGGUAAGGAUGAGGUCGGCGGUUCAAAUCCGCCUAGC
rnacentral:tRNA from 1 species